AGGGCGCCACCACCAAGUGUGCCUGCUGCUUAUUUUGACUCAUCACGGGAAAACUUACCCGGCCCGGACACUGGCAGGAUUGACAGAUUGAGAGCUCUUUCUUGAUGAUUCGGGGGGUGGGGCAUGGCCGUUCUUAGUUGGGGGAGAAUUUGUCUGGUUAAUUCCGAUAACAAACAAGACUCUCUGCUGCUAAAUAGGCCACCGGCUUCCCUUUGUGGGUCCAACUUCUCUUCUUAACAGGGACGCGAUUCGUUACCACGAAACGAGAUUGAGCAGGUCUGUGAUGCCCUGCCCUGUAGAUGUUCCGCACGCGCGCUACACUGAACUGAUCAGAAUGCAUUACAGACCUGCUCCGGAAAGAGUGGGGAAACCAAUGAAACUUCUUCGUGGAUGGGAUAUGGGAAUGGCAUUAUUCCCCUUGAACGAAGAAUUUCCAGUAAGCGCCAAGCAUAAGCUCCGGUUGAUUACCUCCCCUGCCUUUGGACCCCCCGGCCGUCCCUUCUACCGAAUGAAUGAAUU
rnacentral:rRNA from 1 species